rnacentral:rRNA from 1 species
UACAGAGGGCGCGAGCGUUGUCCGGAAUCACUGGGCGUAAAGGGCGCGUAGGUGGCCACCAUAAGGCCGCGGUGAAAGUUCGGGGCUCAACCCCGGAUCGGCCGCGGCGACUGUGGGGCUCGGGUACUGUAGAGGCAGGUGGAAUUCCGGGUGUAGCGGUGGAAUGCGUAGAGAUCCGGAAGAACACCAGUGGCGAAGGCGGCCUGCUGGGCAGUGGGAUCGAAAGGUCCCUUCAACCGACACUGAGGCGCGACAGCGUGGGGAGCAAACAGG